rnacentral:rRNA from 1 species
GCGCACGGGUGCGUAACACGUGGAUAAUCUGCCUAGAAGCCCGGAAUAACCUGCCGAAAGGCUGGCUAAUACCGGAUAAGCCUACGGGUUCCUCGGAACCUGCCGGAAAAGGUGGCCUCUGUAUACAAGCUAUCACUUUUAGAUGAGUCCGCGGCCCAUCAGCUAGUUGGCGGGGUAAUGGCCCACCAAGGCAACGACGGGUAGCUGGUCUGAGAGGACGAUCAGCCACACUGGAACUGAGACACGGUCCAGACUCCUACGGGAGGCAGCAGUGGGGAAUUUUGCACAAUGGGCGAAAGCCUGAUGCAGCAACGCCGCGUGUGUGAUGAAGGUCUUCGGAUCGUAAAGCACUUUCGACCGGGACGAAAACCCGUUGGCUAACAUCCAACGGUUUGACUGUACCGGGAGAAGAAGCACCGGCUAACUCUGUGCCAGCAGCCGCGGUAAUACAGAGGGUGCAAGCGUUGUUCGGAAUUAUUGGGCGUAAAGCGCGUGUAGGCGGCUUUGCAAGUCGGGUGUGAAAGCCCUCAGCUUAACUGAGGAAGUGCGCCCGAAACUGCAGAGCUUGAGUACCGGAGAGGAUGGCGGAAUUCCCCAAGUAGAGGUGAAAUUCGUAGAUAUGGGGAGGAACACCGGUGGCGAAGGCGGCCAUCUGGACGGAUACUGACGCUGAGACGCGAAAGCGUGGGUAGCAAACAGGAUUAGAUACCCUGGUAGUCCACGCCGUAAACGAUGAGAACUAGGUGUCGUGGGUGUUGACCCCCGCGGUGCCGUAGCUAACGCAUUAAGUUCUCCGCCUGGGAAGUACGGCCGCAAGGCUAAAACUCAAGGAAUUGA